UUGCCAAAUGGCAGCAGGAGUUAGAUUUUUAAGUGGCAUGUGCCACCGGAAGUGGCAUGUUCUUCACCGUAAGACGUAAAAUAUAACUUAUGACAUUAAAAUAUAACUUAGUUCUUCACCGUAAGA